rnacentral:lncRNA from 1 species
UAGCAGGCUCCUGGGCGAUGCAGAUGCUGGCAUUCUGGGCACUGCCCUUUGGAAAGCUAUGAUGACCACUGAAGCAGAACAGACCAAAGCAAAGAGGUGGGAAAGUCGCGAGAAGAUACAGGACUGGCUGGGAUACAUCAGGAAGAGGAGCUGCGAUGGAUGGGACUUCAAAUGGAAGUUGGUGAUUAUAUCCGUCCCAGCACCUCCCGCCUUGCAAGAGAGGCCUUAUAAAUCCUGGUCACAAGGAAGGGAAACAGAAGCUCAAGGAAGAGAGAGCCAUGGCUUCCUAGGUGUCAGUGAAGACCCAGACGCUGAAACUAUAACCGCCUAGUUCAGAAACCUAUACUUUGCUUGACCACAAUCCAAGCAGGGGGUGGGGAUGGGAUGUUUUUCUGCAGGGCUGGACAUAGAGUCAGUGUUCAGAGCACAUUGUUGGAGAGAGGAAGGAUGGGUGAGUGAAUAAGUGAAGAAAUGAAUGAGAGAACAGAACCACUUUGAGAGCCUGGAAACCGGGACCUCACGCUCUGUGACCUCACGCUCCAACUUCCCCUCCUCCCCGAGUCUGAUCUGAAAGGUGACCCCCGUUCCUCUCGCCCAGGUGAUAAAGCCAGGUGCAGGUGCACCUGUUACCCAAACCUGAUAUCCAAAUAGGAAGUAAGGCUGAGAUAAGGCUGUGGAGGGCAGUGCCUGGAAUCACGGGGUUGGGCUGGCCAUUGGCUUGAUGCCACAAGUGUCCACCGAGCCUCUCCUAAAGGUUGAGCUCUAUGCCAGGUUCCUUCAGGGUGAGGCAGGAAGCCACGCAGCUCCUGACCUCCAACAGCUUAUGGAAAAAAAAAAUACUUACAAACAGGAUGUGGGUCGGGCAAAGGGAGAAGUGUGAAGCAGGUGGCCAUUGCUCCCUGACAGCUCCAACAGGGAGUUGGGACUGAGAGAUGAGAAGAAAUGAGGCAGUAGUUAGUGAUGCCAGGGGAGGGGCCUGACCCUUGCACUGCCAUUGCUGAGGAAUAAGAGGUCCUUAAAGUUUAGCUCCUCAGACCCAGACCCCUCCCCAGUCCUCCUACCUUCUCUCAGGGUCUCCCUUACAAGAUCAGGCUAAGCUUCCUCUCUGUUCCUUCUGGCUUUACCACAGGUUGGCAUCCUGGAGCAAGGGCCUAGUCUCUGUAUUUUCCACACAGGCCUCUUUUUCUCUACCUUCCUCCUGCCCCUCACUACCUGAGCUAGGUCCAAGAAGCCUCCUUGUGGCCUGGCAUUUGAGUGCUGAACUUAAGAGGAUUUUGUAAGCUGGUUAAACAAAGCCAGAUUAAAAAUCAAGUUACAAGUGCCAUGUUCUAUUAAAGUCAAAGAUAACAGGUACUCAAACCCUGCAACUUCCUAGUUCUUUAACAUUUCAUGCUAUGUAUGUUAUAGAGGAUAUGCACAUAUGUUGUGCCCUGUAAUUGGAAAAUAACAUUUUAUGGUAUUGUGCAUCUCUGCGGUUCUCUGCUCAGCCAUAUCACCCAAGUAGAUAGAUGCCUUAGUUCAUUUUGUGUUAUAACAAAAUCCCUGAGGCUAUUUUAUUUCUAAAAAAAAAAAGAGGUCUAUUUAGCUUACAAUUAAUUUUGGAAUAGUGCUAACAUCUGCUCAGCUCUGGUGAGGGCAUUCUGCCUCUGUCACAUUGUGGAGGGCAGCAUUAUGUAUGGAUAUGCAUGAAAUAGAGAGAUCACAUGGCCACUUAGGGAGCAAGAGAGAUUCAGGGACCAGGUUUACUCUUUGUGUAACAACCUACGCUCAUGGGAUCUAGACCAGCGACAUUUUCAUAUGAUCUAGAACGAACUCAAGAGAGAAUAGGUUUAUUUUAACUACAGUUUGAGAGGUACGGUUGUGUACAUGAUAGAAAAAGCACGUCAGGUAGUUCAUCCAUGACAUGACUUGGCACCAACUAGGAAGCAACAAGUUCUUGGGCCAUAACUGGAUAUAAAUAUGAUCUUCAAAGUCCCAUCCCUCGUGGCCAAGUUCACCAAGCUAGGCCUUAGGUCCCCAAACAGUGACAGCAGCUGAUGAUCAAGUAUUUAAACACAUGAGCUUGAUGUGCGUGUGGCAGGGCUGGAGGGGUGGAUUUACAGAUCUGUGAUAGUUUAUCUUUACCAAGUUAACACAACACAGAAUCACUUAAUUAAGUUAAUUGAUAUGGGAUGAUUCAGUCCACUGUGGGCGUCAUCAUCCCCUAGGCAGAGGGUUUUGAAUGUAUAGGAACGGAGAAAUCGAGCUGGGCACAGGUAAGCAAGCAGGAUGGAUACAAUCAUUUCUCUCUGUUCUUGGCUUUUGCUGUGGCUAUGAUACACGUGGCUAUUAAAUGUUCCUGCUUGAUAUUCCCACAGCGGUUCACUAUACCUAUAACUUGUAACUGUAAUUGUAAUCUAAAACAAGACUUUUCUUCCCCUAAGUUGCUUUUUGUCAGGGCAUAUUAUCACAGCAUAAAUGAAACCUGACAAACAUACAAAACAUAACACAGGGGUCUUAAGAAAGCUACGUUCCUCCCUUCUACUGUUAAUGCCUUCAAUAAUAACCUUUCACAAGGCUUUACCUCCUAAAGGUUUUGCAUCCUUAAUCCCAUCAUGCUAGGGACUACACUGCUACUGUGAAGAACUAUGUAAAACACCCUCAAAUAGUAACAUAACUAUGAUAUUGGUCUUAUAGAUAUAUUUGCAUUAAGGAAUCAGGGUAAAUGCAUGCUUUGUUUGGCUUACUGUUUCAGUAAAGUGAUGAAGAGAAUCUAAUAAGACACCUGACCUUUAGGGUAACACGUAUCGUUGUAUGGUGGACUGAUCAGAGAACUGAAAUUAUGUAUCAGUGUGAGAAAAGGUUAAGAGCGCUUUUUCUAGACAAACGAGUGUGUUCCCAGUACACGGCCUCCCAUUCCACUCUGUCUGUGAAGAUGGAGCCAAGCAAUCUUCCUAGGCUGCCCAUUUGUUGAGAUUAAACACAUUCAUUCCUAAUGUGACUCCCUCUUUCUAGCAGAAGAGCAGUCAAGCAUUUAGUGGCUGCCUGCUUUUGUUGCACCAUGCAGUCUCUCUGAUGGUGAAUUUUGAAAGAAACAGGAAGUACUAUAUUAUGGAGGUAUAUGAAAUUUAAAAUUGGAGUUAUUUUUUGGUAAUUGUGUGUUAUGAUCUUUUCUAUUGCUCCAAUCAUAAUAAACUUAGGACCACAUUUGUGAAUUUUAUUUUAUUUUUUAUUGUUUUAUUGACUCUGUGAUUUUGACAUUUAUACCUCAAUGCCACUCAUCUCCCCU